rnacentral:lncRNA from 1 species
GAAAGUACAAUCAUCUCCACCAAAACUAUCACUAGCAUUAUUUAUAUUUUUUCUAUCUCUUCUCUUGGCCUUGUAGUAAUUUCUAACAAAAUGACAUAGUUUUUCACAAAUAUAGCAAUUCUUUAUGUUACUUUUUAAAUUAUCACAUUGGUGUAGAAAGCUACCUUUGCCUUCUCUUGAAAAUAGAGCCGAAUCAUCACUUUGAAGCUCUUUUUCUUUCCUCUUGGUUACUUCAUGUGCAAGUCUUGAUGUAACAUAAUUCAUAGUAAGCUCCUUUAUGUUGAUAGAUUUUAAUGCCACAAUGAGGUAGUUGUAGGACUCGGAAAGGCUCA